rnacentral:miRNA from 1 species
AUCAACAUUUGCUGCUUUCCUC